rnacentral:rRNA from 1 species
GACGAACGCUGGCGGCGUGCUUAACACAUGCAAGUCGAACGGAAAGGCCCUGCUUUUGUGGGGGGCUCGAGUGGCGAACGGGUGAGUAACACGUGAGUAACCUGCCCUUGACUUUGGGAUAACUUCAGGAAACUGGGGCUAAUACCGGAUAGGAGCUCCUGCUGCAUGGUGGGGGUUGGAAAGUUUCGGCGGUUGGGGAUGGACUCGCGGCUUAUCAGCUUGUUGGUGGGGUAGUGGCUUACCAAGGCUUUGACGGGUAGCCGGCCUGAGAGGGUGACCGGCCACAUUGGGACUGAGAUACGGCCCAGACUCCUACGGGAGGCAGCAGUGGGGAAUAUUGCACAAUGGGCGGAAGCCUGAUGCAGCAACGCCGCGUGCGGGAUGACGGCCUUCGGGUUGUAAACCGAUUUCGCCUGUGACGAAGCGUGAGUGACGGUAAUGGGUAAAGAAGCACCGGCUAACUACGUG